ACGAGUGGCGGACGGGUGAGUAACACGUGGGUAACCUGCCCUUAAGUGGGGGAUAACAUUUGGAAACAGAUGCUAAUACCGCAUAGAUCCAAGAACCGCAUGGUUCUUGGCUGAAAGAUGGCGUAAGCUAUCGCUUUUGGAUGGACCCGCGGCGUAUUAGCUAGUUGGUGAGGUAAUGGCUCACCAAGGCGAUGAUACGUAGCCGAACUGAGAGGUUGAUCGGCCACAUUGGGACUGAGACACGGCCCAAACUCCUACGGGAGGCAGCAGUAGGGAAUCUUCCACAAUGGACGCAAGUCUGAUGGAGCAACGCCGCGUGAGUGAAGAAGGCUUUCGGGUCGUAAAACUCUGUUGUUGGAGAAGAAUGGUCGGCAGAGUAACUGUUGUCGGCGUGACGGUAUCCAACCAGAAAGCCACGGCUAACUACGUGCCAGCAGCCGCGGUAAUACGUAGGUGGCAAGCGUUAUCCGGGAUUUAUUGGGCGUAAAGCGAGCGCAGGCGGUUUUUUAAGUCUGAUGUGAAAGCCCUCGGCUUAACCGAGGAAGCGCAUCGGAAACUGGGAAACUUGAGUGCAGAAGAGGACAGUGGAACUCCAUGUGUAGCGGUGAAAUGCGUAGAUAUAUGGAAGAACACCAGUGGCGAAGGCGGCUGUCUGGUCUGUAACUGACGCUGAGGCUCGAAAGCAUGGGUAGCGAACAGGAUUAGAUACCCUGGUAGUCCAUGCCGUAAACGAUGAAUGCUAGGUGUUGGAGGGUUUCCGCCCUUCAGUGCCGCAGCUAACGCAUUAAGCAUUCCGCCUGGGGGAGUACGACCGCACGGUUGAAACUCAAAGGAAUUGACGGGGGCCCGCACAAGCGGUGGAGCAUGUGGUUUAAUUCGAAGCAACGCGAAGAACCUUACCAGGUCUUGACAUCUUUUGAUCACCUGAGAGAUCAGGUUUCCCCUUCGGGGGCAAAAUGACAGGUGGUGCAUGGUUGUCGUCAGCUCGUGUCGUGAGAUGUUGGGUUAAGUCCCGCAACGAGCGCAACCCUUAUGACUAGUUGCCAGCAUUUAGUUGGGCACUCUAGUAAGACUGCCGGUGACAAACCGGAGGAAGGUGGGGAUGACGUCAAAUCAUCAUGCCCCUUAUGACCUGGGCUACACACGUGCUACAAUGGAUGGUACAACGAGUUGCGAGACCGCGAGGUCAAGCUAAUCUCUUAAAGCCAUUCUCAGUUCGGACUGUAGGCUGCAACUCGCCUACACGAAGUCGGAAUCGCUAGUAAUCGCGGAUCAGCACGCCGCGGUGAAUACGUUCCCGGGCCUUGUACACACCGCCCGUCACACCAUGAGAGUUUGUAACACCCGAAGCCGGUGGCGUAACCCUUUUAGGGAGCGAGCCGUCUAAGGUGGGACAAAUGAUUAGGGUGAAGUCGUAACAAGUAGCCG
rnacentral:rRNA from 1 species